AGUGGCGUGCGGGAAAUGUGGCGUGAGGAAGCCGUGGUCGACCGGGGACGUGGAGCCGACGUCCUUGUGAAGGAGGCUCUCAUCCCAUAGAGGGUGUUAGGCCCCCGCAGGCGCCCGUCGCCGGUGGCCUUAAGGCUUCUAAGAGUCGGGUUGUUUUGGAAUGCAGCCCAAAGACGGGUGGUAAACUCCAUCCAAGGCUAAAUACAAGGCACGAGACCGAUAGAUAACAAGUACCAUGAGGGAAAGUUGAAAAGAACUUUGAAGAGAGAGUUCAAUAGGACGUGAAGCUGCCGAGAAGUAAACGGAAAGGCCCCGCACACCGUGGCCGGGAGAUUCAGCGCAAGUGGAGGUUUUGCGGCGCCCCGCUCCGUCUGCGGAUUCCCCUCGGGAACCCUGGCAGAGUGGGUCGAUGCAGCCGCCCGUCGCGCGCAUUUCUCCCGUGCCUCUGGGGUUGGUGACCGAUCGUUGAUCGGCCGAUUGGACGCGGCGAAGGCAGGUAGCUCACCCAGGCUUCGGCCUGGGAGAGAACGUAUAGUCUCGCCGUCCGCAUCGGUCGCAAGGUCGAGGAAAGAUGCCCACGUGCUGCGCCUGCUCGGGUCUUCGGACCGGGGCUGGAGCCGCCGGACUCCCGCUCGUGCGGCGUACGGGGACUGUCCUCAGUGCCCGCUCGCUCGUGCGGUCGAGAAAGGCCGGAUCGCCUCUCAGGCGCACGGGGU
rnacentral:rRNA from 1 species